AGGGACGAAGAAGUGACGUUACCUCAGGAGGAAGCCCCGGCUAACUCCGUCCCAGCAGCCGCGGUAAUACGGGGGGGGCAAGCGUUGUUCGGAAUUACUGGGCGUAAAGGGCGCGUAGGCGGCCACGGAAGUCAUGGGUGAAAUCCCCCCAGCCUAACUGGGGAACUGCCUGUGAAACCACGUAGCUGGAGUGCUGGAGAGGAAAGCGGAAUUCCUGGUGUAGCGGUGAAAUGCGUAGAUAUCAGGAGGAACAUCAGAGGCGAAGGCGGCUUUCUGGACAGACACUGACGCUGAGGCGCGAAAGCCAGGGGAGCAAACGGGAUUAGAUACCCCGGUAGUCCUGGCUGUAAACGAUGAGCACUUGGUGUGGGGGGUGCAUUCAGUCCCCCUGUGCCGGAGAAAACUCGUUAAGUGCUCCGCCUGGGGAGUACGGCCGCAAGGCUGAAACUCAAAGGAAUUGACGGGGGCCCGCACAAGCGGUGGAGCAUGUGGUUUAAUUCGACGCAACGCGAAGAACCUUACCGGGGUUUGAACUGUAACGGCAACCGUCAGAGAUGGCGGGUUCCUUCGGGACUGUUACAGAGGUGCUGCAUGGCUGUCGUCAGCUCGUGUCGUGAGAUGUUGGGUUAAGUCCCGCAACGAGCGCAACCCUUGUUUGUAGUUGCCAUCAGGUUAAGCUGGGCACUCUACGAAGACUGUCGGCGAGAAGCCGGAGGAAGGUGGGGAUGACGUCAAGUCCUCAUGGCCUUUAUGUCCCGGGCUACACACGUGCUACAAUGGGCGGAACAAAGGGCAGCCAACCUGCAAAGGUGCGCGAAUCCCAUAAAUCCGUUCUCAGUUCGGAUUGCAGUCUGCAACUCGACUGCAUGAAGUUGGAAUCGCUAGUAAUCGUGGAUCAGCAUGCCACGGUGAAUACGUUCCCGGGCCUUGUACACACCGCCCGUCACAUCACGAAAGUGGGUUGUACUAGAAGUCGCCGGCCUAACCUUCGGGAGGGAGGCGC
rnacentral:rRNA from 1 species